UUAGGAAAAUAGAGACCAACGUGUUUCUGUGCUGACGUUUUCUCUCCCGUCGUCCCAGUGCUUCGUUUGACUCUACGGUUCGGCUGUGGGAUGUGGAGCGAGGUGUUUGCACCCACACGCUAACCAAGCAUCAGGAACCUGUCUAUAGUGUAGCUUUUAGCCCUGACGGGAAAUACUUGGCCAGUGGCUCCUUUGACAAGUGCGUGCACAUCUGGAACACUCAGAGUGGGAAUCUCGUUCACAGCUACCGAGGCACUGGCGGCAUCUUCGAGGUGUGCUGGAGCGCCCGAGGGGACAAAGUGGGCGCCAGUGCGUCCGACGGCUCCGUGUAUGUGUUGGAUCUGCGAAAGUAAACACAAAACGUUACAGAAGAAAGAAUUCUCAUGAACCAGCAGUGAAGGUGGGGGUCACAGCACACUUCAGACACAAUCCUAUCAGCUCCAAAAUUGUAUGAACCUGACUUGCAUUAGAGUGUACUUUGAAAGCAACUCAUCCCUGGUCACAGGAGUCUUUAUUUUUUCAUGAUCUUCACCAAGAAGUUUAAAGCAGAAACAUACACCCAGUCAUG